rnacentral:rRNA from 1 species
AGCAGCCGCGGUAAUUCCAGCUCCAAUAGCGUAUAUUAAAGUUGUUGCAGUUAAAAAGCUCGUAGUUGGAUUUUGGAUUGAGUCUAACGGUCGGCCGUAAGGUCUGUACUGUUGGGCUCUUUCUUCUUCUCGAAGACCAUGUGUGCCCUUAAUUGGGUGUGCAUGGGGUUCGGGACUUUUACUGUGAGAAAAU